AGUCGAGCGACGGACGAGAAGCUUGCUUCUCUGAUGUUAGCGGCGGACGGGUGAGUAACACGUGGAUAACCUACCUAUAAGACUGGGAUAACUUCGGGAAACCGGAGCUAAUACCGGAUAAUAUUUUGAACCGCAUGGUUCAAAAGUGAAAGACGGUCUUGCUGUCACUUAUAGAUGGAUCCGCGCUGCAUUAGCUAGUUGGUAAGGUAACGGCUUACCAAGGCAACGAUGCAUAGCCGACCUGAGAGGGUGAUCGGCCACACUGGAACUGAGACACGGUCCAGACUCCUACGGGAGGCAGCAGUAGGGAAUCUUCCGCAAUGGGCGAAAGCCUGACGGAGCAACGCCGCGUGAGUGAUGAAGGUCUUCGGAUCGUAAAACUCUGUUAUUAGGGAAGAACAUAUGUGUAAGUAACUGUGCACAUCUUGACGGUACCUAAUCAGAAAGCCACGGCUAACUACGUGCCAGCAGCCGCGGUAAUACGUAGGUGGCAAGCGUUAUCCGGAAUUAUUGGGCGUAAAGCGCGCGUAGGCGGUUUUUUAAGUCUGAUGUGAAAGCCCACGGCUCAACCGUGGAGGGUCAUUGGAAACUGGAAAACUUGAGUGCAGAAGAGGAAAGUGGAAUUCCAUGUGUAGCGGUGAAAUGCGCAGAGAUAUGGAGGAACACCAGUGGCGAAGGCGACUUUCUGGUCUGUAACUGACGCUGAUGUG
rnacentral:rRNA from 1 species